ACUAGGAAGGAGCAGGACAACACAGGUGAGUACUCGGAUGAAGCAGGACCACACAGGUGAGUACUCGGAUGGAGCAGAACCACACAGGUGAGUACUCGGAUGAAG